rnacentral:rRNA from 1 species
UUAAGCGACUAAGCGUACACGGUGGAUGCCCUGGCAGUCAGAGGCGAUGAAGGACGUGCUAAUCUGCGAUAAGCGUCGGUAAGGUGAUAUGAACCGUUAUAACCGGCGAUUUCCGAAUGGGGAAACCCAGUGUGUUUCGACACACUAUCAUUAACUGAAUCCAUAGGUUAAUGAGGCGAACCGGGGGAACUGAAACAUCUAAGUACCCCGAGGAAAAGAAAUCAACCGAGAUUCCCCCAGUAGCGGCGAGCGAACGGGGAGCAGCCCAGAGCCUGAAUCAGUGUGUGUGUUAGUGGAAGCGUCUGGAAAGGCGCGCGAUACAGGGUGACAGCCCCGUACACAAAAAUGCACAUACUGUGAGCUCGAUGAGUAGGGCGGGACACGUGGUAUCCUGUCUGAAUAUGGGGGGACCAUCCUCCAAGGCUAAAUACUCCUGGCUGACCGAUAGUGAACCAGUACCGUGAGGGAAAGGCGAAAAGAACCCCGGCGAGGGGAGUGAAAAAGAACCUGAAACCGUGUACGUACAAGCAGUGGGAGCACGCUUCGGCGUGUGACUGCGUACCUUUUGUAUAAUGGGUCAGCGACUUAUAUUCUGUAGCAAGGUUAACCGAAUAGGGGAGCCGAAGGGAAACCGAGUCUUAACUGGGCGUUAAGUUGCAGGGUAUAGACCCGAAACCCGGUGAUCUAGCCAUGGGCAGGUUGAAGGUUGGGUAACACUAACUGGAGGACCGAACCGACUAAUGUUGAAAAAUUAGCGGAUGACUUGUGGCUGGGGGUGAAAGGCCAAUCAAACCGGGAGAUAGCUGGUUCUCCCCGAAAGCUAUUUAGGUAGCGCCUCGUGAAUUCAUCUCCGGGGGUAGAGCACUGUUUCGGCAAGGGGGUCAUCCCGACUUACCAACCCGAUGCAAACUGCGAAUACCGGAGAAUGUUAUCACGGGAGACACACGGCGGGUGCUAACGUCCGUCGUGAAGAGGGAAACAACCCAGACCGCCAGCUAAGGUCCCAAAGUCAUGGUUAAGUGGGAAACGAUGUGGGAAGGCCCAGACAGCCAGGAUGUUGGCUUAGAAGCAGCCAUCAUUUAAAGAAAGCGUAAUAGCUCACUGGUCGAGUCGGCCUGCGCGGAAGAUGUAACGGGGCUAAACCAUGCACCGAAGCUGCGGCAGCGACGCUGAUGCGUUGUUGGGUAGGGGAGCGUUCUGUAAGCCUGCGAAGGUGUGCUGUGAGGCAUGCUGGAGGUAUCAGAAGUGCGAAUGCUGACAUAAGUAACGAUAAAGCGGGUGAAAAGCCCGCUCGCCGGAAGACCAAGGGUUCCUGUCCAACGUUAAUCGGGGCAGGGUGAGUCGACCCCUAAGGCGAGGCCGAAAGGCGUAGUCGAUGGGAAACAGGUUAAUAUUCCUGUACUUGGUGUUACUGCGAAGGGGGGACGGAGAAGGCUAUGUUGGCCGGGCGACGGUUGUCCCGGUUUAAGCGUGUAGGCUGGUUUUCCAGGCAAAUCCGGAAAAUCAAGGCUGAGGCGUGAUGACGAGGCACUACGGUGCUGAAGCAACAAAUGCCCUGCUUCCAGGAAAAGCCUCUAAGCAUCAGGUAACAUCAAAUCGUACCCCAAACCGACACAGGUGGUCAGGUAGAGAAUACCAAGGCGCUUGAGAGAACUCGGGUGAAGGAACUAGGCAAAAUGGUGCCGUAACUUCGGGAGAAGGCACGCUGAUAUGUAGGUGAGGUCCCUCGCGGAUGGAGCUGAAAUCAGUCGAAGAUACCAGCUGGCUGCAACUGUUUAUUAAAAACACAGCACUGUGCAAACACGAAAGUGGACGUAUACGGUGUGACGCCUGCCCGGUGCCGGAAGGUUAAUUGAUGGGGUCAGCGCAAGCGAAGCUCUUGAUCGAAGCCCCGGUAAACGGCGGCCGUAACUAUAACGGUCCUAAGGUAGCGAAAUUCCUUGUCGGGUAAGUUCCGACCUGCACGAAUGGCGUAAUGAUGGCCAGGCUGUCUCCACCCGAGACUCAGUGAAAUUGAACUCGCUGUGAAGAUGCAGUGUACCCGCGGCAAGACGGAAAGACCCCGUGAACCUUUACUAUAGCUUGACACUGAACAUUGAGCCUUGAUGUGUAGGAUAGGUGGGAGGCUUUGAAGUGUGGACGCCAGUCUGCAUGGAGCCGACCUUGAAAUACCACCCUUUAAUGUUUGAUGUUCUAACGUUGACCCGUAAUCCGGGUUGCGGACAGUGUCUGGUGGGUAGUUUGACUGGGGCGGUCUCCUCCUAAAGAGUAACGGAGGAGCACGAAGGUUGGCUAAUCCUGGUCGGACAUCAGGAGGUUAGUGCAAUGGCAUAAGCCAGCUUGACUGCGAGCGUGACGGCGCGAGCAGGUGCGAAAGCAGGUCAUAGUGAUCCGGUGGUUCUGAAUGGAAGGGCCAUCGCUCAACGGAUAAAAGGUACUCCGGGGAUAACAGGCUGAUACCGCCCAAGAGUUCAUAUCGACGGCGGUGUUUGGCACCUCGAUGUCGGCUCAUCACAUCCUGGGGCUGAAGUAGGUCCCAAGGGUAUGGCUGUUCGCCAUUUAAAGUGGUACGCGAGCUGGGUUUAGAACGUCGUGAGACAGUUCGGUCCCUAUCUGCCGUGGGCGCUGGAGAACUGAGGGGGGCUGCUCCUAGUACGAGAGGACCGGAGUGGACGCAUCACUGGUGUUCG